rnacentral:tRNA from 1 species
GCAGCAGUCGCCCAGCGGAAGGGCAGGAGGCUCAUAACCUCCAGACUGCCGGGUUCUAUACUUCUGCCCGGCGGGGCGCGGGUUCAAAUCCCGCCUGCUGCA